rnacentral:rRNA from 1 species
GCCAGACUCCUACGGGAGGCAGCAGUGGGGAAUAUUGGGCAAUGGGCGCAAGCCUGACCCAGCAACGCCGCGUGAAGGAAGAAGGCUUUCGGGUUGUAAACUUCUUUUAAGAGGGAAGAGUAGAAGACGGUACCUCUUGAAUAAGCCACGGCUAACUACGUGCCAGCAGCCGCGGUAAUACGUAGGUGGCAAGCGUUGUCCGGAUUUACUGGGUGUAAAGGGCGUGUAGCCGGGCCGGCAAGUCAGAUGUGAAAUCUCAAGGCUCAACCUUGGAACUGCAUUUGAAACUGUUGGUCUUGAGUAUCGGAGAGGCAGGCGGAAUUCCUAGUGUAGCGGUGAAAUGCGUAGAUAUUAGGAGGAACACCAGUGGCGAAGGCGGCCUGCUGGACGACAACUGACGGUGAGGCGCGAAAGCGUGGGGAGCAAACAGGAUUAGAUACCCCGGUA